rnacentral:tRNA from 1 species
GGCCUGGUGGCACAGUGGUUUAAGCAUUUGGCUGCUAACCAAAAGAUUGGCAGUUUGACUCCACCAGCCG